GGACAGCUGGCCUUGAGAAUGUCCUCCUGUGGAAGUGGCCUUUGUUUCUCAUUUCUGCUGCCUGUGCCAAGUAACUGAUGCCUUGCACAGCCAGAGGCUGCAGCAGGCUGGGUUCCCUGUGUGCCCAGGGUAUGGCGUGCCCCGGACAAUGUGCUCACAUCUGGAAGGGAUGAUUUCUCUGGAUUCUCCACGACCCCUGGAACCCAAGGGCUGCUGCUCUGGAUAUGGUCCCAAGACCCCACCCCUGCCGCCUGGAGCCUCCUGCCUGCGUGUGGCCAUCAGACUCUGCUUCCCUUCCGGGUCGCAGCCUGGAACCAUCCUUCUGUCUGACCAGAGCUUCCUCAGACUCAGUUUCCUCACUGGCCAAACAGGACUAAGAGAAGGGCUGCUCACAGGCAGUUAAGGAAAACCAAGGACAGAGCACUACAAGUUUGAAUGUGCUUUGCUCCAUGCUGGGCAUUACAAGAUCGAAUGAGCUUUGCUCCAUGCUGGCCUCUGAGCACAGUGCCAGUCAAACGCUGCUGUGACGCUUGCCCUGCAUGAUCCCUGCCCCUAUACCAUGGACCUCCCCAGGUCAGCACCAUGUCAGCUUUCAUUCAUUUCUUCAUUCACUUACUUCACUCCAACUCUUCCCAUUCACUCAUCCCCUCCAUUCAGUAUUUCUCCUUCCUUCACGCAGCUUUGUGGUGUUUGUUGACUCUAGUCCAUGGGUUUGAUUUCAUUAUUUUAUUCAUUCAUUCUGGUUCAUUUUGUGUCAUUGUAUGCCUCCUUUUUUCCUUUUCACUCCAUUCAUUGCCCGUAUUCCACUUAUUCAGGCAUUUAUUCCAUGUCACCUUUUCACUGUGUGAAAGCCCUAUCUUCAGUUCUGCAUGCUAUGGUGUGCCAGACACUAAGGCUCAGCACUGGGUUACUGCAGGUUGCAGUCACUAACCUGGAGGGUGUGGCAGCACCUGGCUUCCACAGCCAACUGUGUGUGCAAUUCGUGUGUGUCCAUGUGUGUGCUUGCAUGCAUGUGUGCACAUUCAUUCUCAUGUGUGUACGCAUGCAUGCUGCUUUCCCAGGAUGGGGAGGAGCCGCACUGUCCUUCCCUUUUUCUCAGUUCCUGCUGUGCCAGGGGAAACCGUGUUUUACAGGGCGCAGGUCAGGUGUGGAUCCGAUUGGAGUCUUGACCUCCCUGGAGAGGGGCAAGCAUGAUUUGUCAAGGUUCCCCCAAAGCAAAGAAAGAAUUCUGCAGAGUCUUGGAAGUCAUUCUAUUGUUCUUGAGAAAUCUUUGCUUGCCAAGGCGAUUCCUUAUGACUCCAUCCUGGUACCAGGAUGAUAGAAGGCAUUGAUCUCCAUCCGGGAGCUCAGCCAGGCAGGGGACACGGGGGUGUCAUGCUCAGCCCUACAGUGAGCGUCAUGGGGCCCCCAAGAUCCACCCCAGCUGUGGGGGGGGGCACCCUAGAGAGGACGCAGAGACCCAGCCCCACUGUCCCCUCCCGACUGAAGCAGAGCCAGGGAGGAGAGGAGAAAAGAUCAUCAAAAUCCAGCUACCUCAGAGGCUGUGUUUUAUUGCCAAGCAUGACUCCAGAAAAUUAUGAAAGUUUCCGGCUGUAUCCAGAAGUGGGAAGAAACCAAGGAAGUUUCCUUAUGUGAAUAAGGAACAGUGCUGAAAGCCAGCUGCCCAGUGCCCGCUCAGCAGGGUCCUGGCCCGGUGGUGAGUGGUAGCGUCGGGUUCUCAUGGGCCCACAUGACCAUUCAGCAGCUGGGUGACCUUAAGCCCAUCAGGUAACUCAUCCAAGCCUUAGUCCAGCCAUCUGGGGAAUGGGUCAGGAACAGUCCCUGCUUCACAGAUUCUCAUGAACCUCAAGUAAGAAUGUGAAUAACUUGACUCGCUUACAGUGAGACAGUAUAAGCAUUAUUGCUGUCAUUUUAAAAACCUGAGAUUGGGCCAGGGAUUUAGUUCAGUGGUUCCGCCGCCUGCUUUGCAAGUGGAAGGUCCCGAGUUCGAUGCCCAGUACCAAAAUAAAUAAAUAAAUAAAACCUGAGAUGAG
rnacentral:lncRNA from 1 species